rnacentral:lncRNA from 1 species
CCACGCGCAACAAAUUGGGCCUUAUUACAGCCCAUUCAUCCAAUCUCUUAAAAGCCCAACCCAUAUAUUUGGCGGGAAAGUCGAAGCCAUUCCAACAGGCGUGUCGUGUCUCGUGUGCGUGUCCAUUAAGCUUCCCACCAAUUCCCAUAAAAACUUCUCAAACCUGCUAAGCUCGAUGAUAUGUCAAGAGUGAAGUGUCUGUUGCAGGGAGUCUAGGAGGAGCCACACUAGACUCUCCAACGGUUGGAAUGUGUAAGACUUCUAUAGCGGAAGGUGAAUGAGGAGAUAUAGUAAACUCCCUAAAGGCCUGUAUAGGUAAAACCUCAGAUAUAUCAAGAUGGUCAGAAUGGUCAGAAGAGGUAAAGAAAGGUUUAGACUCAAAAAAUGUGACAUCGGCUAACAUAAGAGGAGCCACACUAGACUCUCCAACGGUUGGAAUGUGUAAGACUUCUAUAGCGGAAGGUGAAGGAGGAGAUAUAGUAAACUCCCUAAAGGUCUGUAUGGGUAAAACCUCAUAUAUAUCAAGAGGGUCAGAAUGGUCAGAAGAGGUAAAGAAAGGUUUAGACUCAAAAAAUGUGACAUCGGCUGACAUAAAGUACCUACGAAGAUCAGGUGAAUAACAACGAUAGCCCUUCUGAGCACGAGAAUAACCAAGGAAGACACACUUGAGAGCACGANNNNNNNNNNNNNNNNNNNNNNAGAUAUAGCCAGAUGGUCAGAAUGGUCAGAAGAGGUAAAGAAAGGCUUAGACUCAAAAAAUGUGACAUCGGCUAACAUAAGGUACCUACGAAGAUCAGGUGAAUAACAACGAUAGCCCUUCUGGGCACGAGAAUAACCAAGGAAGACUUUGCGAGCAUGAGGAGCUAACUUAUCAUUCCCAGGGGCUAAGUUAUGAACGAAACAAGUGCUCCCAAAAAUACGAGGGGAACA